AGGAGCUAUCGCUUACUUCCGGUAUACUUCCGGAAAAUUUGCAUGAAACUAACAAGUGAGCUUUGUUCUCUGUAAAAUUCUAAAGAUUCCAUGCUAAUUUAAGCAAAGAGAAAUGGUCUUUUUGAUUACUUUUAUGACUUGUGACUAUCUAAGGCCAGUCCUUUAGAAAUUGAGUUUUGAACGUGUCAAAUAGAUGGCGUGAAAGAAUGUUGUUUGUUGUGUCACAUAUGGGUUAAUGGCAGUUCGUUGUCAAAAGUUCAGCUACAGCUAUCUUCUUCGUAAAUUACCAAUGAAUUCGUUGGUAAAUUGACUAGAUUUCCUGUGCAGUUUGUUUGGCAUGUGUUGUUUACCGGAUAUGUGUCUAAUAAGUAAUAACAUCAUUAUUUCUACUCCAUUUCCAGGAAAAAAUGUGAAAGGUGCAUGAAGCCAGUACCAUCAACUAUUGUGUUAAAAAUCCUGGUAUCCUACGGAAUAUGUCAUCCAAAUGACAGAGUGGAUUCAUCACUAUUAUCGGCUGAAUCAUUCUAUGGGACUUGCCAGAUCACCAACCCAAGCAUGGACCAAUUUCUCAUUCCAUCUUCUAGAGAAUCUUACAUAACUGAUUGGUGGUUUAGUGUGUUUUAGGUUUCUAAUGUAGCAUGAUAGACUUUAUGAGAAGUCAUGUUAUUUGAAGAAAAAGGACUAUACAGUCGACAAGGUUUUUUGCUAACCCGUUGGCUGCUACCCUUGAAUCUCCCUGUUUACUUCCUUACACAGGUCCUCUUGAUUUGAGGGUAAUCCUUCGCUACUGAUCAUACACCCACUUGUGAAAACCGACAAGAGAAUGCUGUAAUUCAAGACUGAUACAUUGUGUAGUUGUUAGAUAAA